UAGGGAAUCUUCGGCAAUGGGGGCAACCCUGACCGAGCAACGCCGCGUGAGUGAAGAAGGUUUUCGGAUCGUAAAGCUCUGUUGUAAGAGAAGAACGAGUGUGAGAGUGGAAAGUUCACACUGUGACGGUAACUUACCAGAAAGGGACGGCUAACUACGUGCCAGCAGCCGCGGUAAUACGUAGGUCCCGAGCGUUAUCCGGAUUUAUUGGGCGUAAAGCGAGCGCAGGCGGUUAGAUAAGUCUGAAGUUAAAGGCUGUGGCUUAACCAUAGUACGCUUUGGAAACUGUUUAACUUGAGUGCAGAAGGGGAGAGUGGAAUUCCAUGUGUAGCGGUGAAAUGCGUAGAUAUAUGGAGGAACACCGGUGGCGAAAGCGGCUCUCUGGUCUGUAACUGACGCUGAGGCUCGAAAGCGUGGGGAGCAAACAGGAUUAGAUACCCUGGNAGUCCACGCCGUAAACGAUGAGUGCUAGGUGUUGGGUCCUUUCCGGGACUCAGUGCCGCAGCUAACGCAUUAAGCACUCCGCCUGGGGAGUACGACCGCAAGGUUG
rnacentral:rRNA from 1 species